rnacentral:misc_RNA from 1 species
GGAAGUAAAAGUUGUAACAAGGUUUCCGUAGGUGAACCUGCGGAAGGAUCAUUACAGAGUUCAUGCCCUCACGGGUAGAUCUCCCACCCUUGAAUAUUUAUACCUUAGUUGCUUUGGCAGGCCGUGGAAACACCAUGGGCUCCGGCUUAUGCGUGCCUGCCAGAGGAAACAAACUCUGUUUUUAGUGAUGUCUGAGUACUAUAUAAUAGUUAAAACUUUCAGCAACGGAUCUCUUGGUUCUG